rnacentral:rRNA from 1 species
CCUACGGUGUGCAGCAGUGGGGGAUAUUGGACCAUGUGGGAAACCCUGAUCCAGCGACGCCGCGUGAGUGAAGCAGUAUUUCGGUAUGUAAAGCUCUAUCAGCAGGGACGAAAGACAUGACGGUCCCUGAGUAAUAAGCCCCGGCUAACUACGUGCCAGCAGCCGCGGUAAUACGUCGGGGGCAAGCGUUAUCCGGAAUUACUGGGUGUAAAGGGAGCGUAUACGUUAUUGCAAGUCUGGAGUGACAGGCGGGGGCCCAACCCCCGGACUGCUCUGGAAACUGUGUAACUGGAGUGCAGGAGAGGAAGGCGGAAUUACUAGUGGAGCGGUGAAAUGCGUAGAUAUUAGGAGGAACACCAGUGGCGAAGGCGGCCUGCUGGACUGUAACUGACGUUGAGGCUCGAAAGCGUGGGGAGCAAACAGGAUUAGAUACCCGGGUAGUC